rnacentral:misc_RNA from 1 species
GCUGAUCCUAAUCUCUGCUUCCCUCACUCUGCAGCCAUGGCCUCCGAUUCCUCUCCAGCUCCCUUCAACAACGGACCUUCUUCUCCGGAUGACUCCCUCUCCAGUCCCAUCGGCAACACAUUUUCUUCCCCCGCAGCUGACAACUCUCGCCGGAACAGACGCAGGGGUAGAUCCACUACCCCUUCGGCGUUUGCUACCCCUCCUCCUCCCCAAUCCCGCUUCGCCACUUCAGAAUCAACCCCGACUCCUCAACGGAGCAGAUCCAUUCCUCGUCAAGCUGCCGUUUCAACCCCGUCUUCCGCUUCUGAGGGCCUACCCUCCUCCGAAGGAGGUGAUGAUAUGGAUGAGGCCACACCCACGUUCGUGUGGGGCACCAACAUCAGUGUUCAGGAUGUUAAGUCUGCUAUCCAUAUGUUUCUGAAGCAUUUUAGGGAUAAUAAUCAAAGUCAAGGGACUGAGAUAUUUGAGGAAGGGAAGUACAUGAAAGCGAUACAUAGAGUGCUGGAAAUUGAAGGGGAGUGGCUUGAUGUUGAUGCGCAUGAUGUGUUUGGUUAUGAUUCUGAUUUAUAUACGAAGAUGGUUAGGUACCCACUUGAGGUUUUGGCCAUUUUUGAUAUUGUUUUGAUGGAUAUUGUGAGUUUGAUUAAUCCUUUGUUCGAGAAACAUGUGCAAGUGAGGAUUUAUAAUCUUAAGACUUCCACGACAAUGAGAAGUCUCAACCCUUCUGAUAUUGAGAAGAUGGUGUCCCUCAAGGGAAUGAUAAUUCGUUGCAGUUCUAUAAUACCAGAGAUCAGGGAAGCAAUUUUUAGAUGCCUUGUGUGUGGGUACUUCUCUGAUCCCAUUGUUGUAGAUAGAGGAAGAAUAAAUGAACCUACAGUAUGCAUGAAGCAGGAGUGCCUUGCUAGAAACUCUAUGACAUUGGUUCAUAAUCGGUGCAGGUUCGCUGAUAAGCAGAUCGUGAGGCUUCAGGAGACACCUGAUGAGAUCCCUGAAGGAGGAACGCCACACACAGUGAGCUUGUUGAUGCAUGACAAAUUGGUGGAUGCUGGAAAACCUGGUGACAGAGUUGAGGUCACUGGGAUUUAUAGAGCCAUGUGUGUUAGAGUUGGGCCCACGCAAAGAACUGUAAAAUCAUUAUUCAAGACUUACAUUGAUUGUCUUCAUAUAAAGAAAACUGACAAGUCAAGAAUGCUGGCAGAGGAUCCUAUGGAAAUUGAUAAUGGCUCACGUAGAAUGGAGGAAGAUGUCCAAUUUGAUGAAGUGAAAAUACAUCAAUUAAAGGAGCUGUCAAGACAGCCUGAUAUUUACGACAGGCUAACAAAGUCAUUGGCACCAAACAUUUGGGAGCUGGAUGAUGUGAAGAGAGGUCUUCUCUGCCAGCUCUUUGGUGGGAAUGCCCUGAAGCUGCCAUCUGGUGCUAGCUUCCGUGGUGAUAUCAAUAUCCUUCUAGUUGGUGAUCCUGGAACUAGCAAGUCCCAGCUACUACAAUACAUACACAAAUUAUCUCCUCGUGGCAUCUAUACUAGUGGGAGAGGGAGCUCUGCUGUUGGCUUGACUGCAUAUGUUAGCAAAGAUCCCGAGACAGGGGAAACGGUUCUGGAGAGUGGAGCACUUGUUCUGAGUGACAGGGGGAUCUGCUGUAUUGAUGAAUUUGACAAAAUGUCUGAAAAUGCAAGGAGCAUGUUACAUGAGGUGAUGGAACAGCAAACUGUUUCCAUUGCCAAGGCUGGAAUUAUUGCUUCCCUUAAUGCAAGAACAUCAGUAUUAGCCUGCGCAAAUCCUAUUGGCUCACGCUAUAAUCCUCGGUUGUCAGUGAUUGACAACAUACACCUUCCUCCUACCUUGUUAUCCAGGUUUGACCUCAUAUACUUGAUUCUUGACAAGGCUGAUGAACAAACAGACAGGCAUCUUGCCAAGCAUAUUGUUUCAUUGCACUUUGAGAAUCCUGAGAUUGCACAGCAGGAUGUCUUAGACAUUGCAACAUUAACUGCAUAUGUGAGCUAUGCUCGUAAGCAUAUUCACCCAAAGUUAUCUGAUGAAGCUGCUGAAGAGUUGACUCGAGGAUAUGUUGAGAUGAGAAGAAGAGGAAAUUUCCCUGGUAGCACAAAAAAGGUGAUAACUGCGACACCUAGGCAGAUAGAAAGUUUGAUACGCCUUAGUGAAGCUCUGGCACGGAUUCGUUUGUCAGAAUGGGUUAGUACAGCUUCCUUUGUGUGUAUGUUUCAUUGGAAUUUCAGAAUUUUGAGCUUCCUUUGUGCUCUGGAACUGGUACAUGCAGGUUGAGAAGCAUGAUGUAAUCGAGGCAUUUCGACUUCUGGAAGUUGCAAUGCAACAGUCAGCAACAGAUCACUCCACUGGAACCAUCGAUAUGGAUCUCAUCACAACUGGAGUUUCAGCAAGUGAAAGGAUAAGGAGAGAGAAUCUUGUAUCGGCGACUCGAAACGUGAUCAUGGAGAAGUUGCAACUUGGGGGACCUUCAAAUUCAAUGCGCUUGUUGGAGUUACUGGAAGAACUGAAGAAGCAGAGCUCCAG